UGCAUCGGCCGGGAAUCGAACCCGGGGCCGCCCGCGUGGCAGGCGAGCAUUCUACCACUAAGCCACCGAUGC
rnacentral:tRNA from 1 species